AUCAGCCCUAGGUGUUGAUGUUAGAAAGGAAGCAGUGAGAUGUUCACCCUUGACUUUUUGGAGCCCUUUCCAACACGAAAAAACCCAUAGGGUCGCCCUUUGAGCCAUCAUGGGUAAGUGAUUCUCAAAUCAGACAUCAGAUCAUGUUUUGUCAAAUUGUUCCCAACUGAUAGCUUUAGCCAAUCAGAAUAAGCAUGGAAAUUAAAUGCUUCUGUUCUUCACAGGCAUACAGCCUGAUGCAUUUUGCCCAAAAUGCAGGCUGGGACCCCUGAGGUUGGAUUUAAUGGAGCACACAAGUGCCACCUAUGCCCAAACUGUGGGUUUGAAGAAAGUUUACACUGAAGACUCCACAUAAAAGGAUAAAAGUUGUACUAAAGUGGGCGUACGUACCAUCAGGGGCCUCGCUCAAAGCUUUACCGGACAUCUCACGCUCCCCGACCAGCCAAACAUAGCC